UACGUAGGGCGCAAGCGUUAUCCGGAAUUAUUGGGCGUAAAGAGCUCGUAGGCGGUUUGUCGCGUCUGCUAUGAAAGACCGGGGCUCAACUCCGGUUCUGCAGUGGGUACGGGCAGACUAGAGUGAUGUAGGGGAGACUGGAAUUCCUGGUGUAGCGGUGAAAUGCGCAGAUAUCAGGAGGAACACCGGUGGCGAAGGCGGUUCUCUGGGCAUUACCUGACGCUGAGGAGCGAAAGUGUGGGGAGCGAACAGG
rnacentral:rRNA from 1 species